CUACGGGGGGCAGCAGUAAGGAAUAUUGGUCAAUGGACGAAAGUCUGAACCAGCCAUGCCGCGUGAAGGAUUAAGGUCCUCUGGAUUGUAAACUUCUUUUAUAUGGGACGAAAAAAGGUCUUUCUAGAUCACUUGACGGUACCAUAUGAAUAAGCACCGGCUAACUCCGUGCCAGCAGCCGCGGUAAUACGGAGGGUGCAAGCGUUAUCCGGAUUCACUGGGUUUAAAGGGUGCGUAGGCGGGCAGGUAAGUCAGUGGUGAAAUCCUGGAGCUCAACUCCAGAACUGCCAUUGAUACUAUCUGUCUAGAAUAUUGUGGAGGUAAGCGGAAUAUGUCAUGUAGCGGUGAAAUGCUUAGAUAUGACAUAGAACACCCAUUGCGAAGGCAGCUUACUACGCAUAUAUUGACGCUGAGGCACGAAAGCGUGGGGAUCAAACAGGAUUAGAUACCCGGGUAGUC
rnacentral:rRNA from 1 species